rnacentral:tRNA from 1 species
GUUCGCCGUGGCGUACGGCCUGUGCACGGUCGCGUUCGUGCCGCGGCCGCUGCUGAACCUCGCAGCGGGCGCCCU